GGAAUUGGACGGAGCCGGAGGAGAAACUCCUUCCGAGAGCGGAGGCCGCAGUUAAACGGUAGCUGAGCGGCUGCGAGCGGAGAGCUAAAAGUUUCAUAACUCGGUAAAUGGAGCAGUGUAACGCUCAGCCGGGCCACCGGGGCGGUCAUUAUAAGAUUAUAAGGACACUGGAGUGCAUACAGGUCGAGUUUGUGAGUUUUCCUUGUUUGUAAAGAGCUUAAACGGAGCUCUGUUAACUGCUUAGCUUAGCUUAGCCGGGCUAGUUAGCCUGGCGCGUGUUAGCGCGUCUCUCUCCGCCGCCCGUAAAGACUAGUUCUGGAUAAAAGGCAGAGUUUCUUUCUAACUCUCCCCGCGCUGCAAACAGCGGCUGUUAAACUAUAAACCAGAGAGUCUCCGGGUCUCCCAGCGCCUCAGAGUUCAUCUGACUCCGAGGGAAAAAGAACCAGGACGAGGCGGGAAAACUCCUCAUUCCGCUCAACGCAGAGGCUGUCAAACUAUAAACCUGAGAGUGCUUCAAGUCUCCGAGUGGCUCAGGGUUCCUCUGGCUACAAGGGAAAAACACCAGGACGACACCGCCCUCAGAUUACUCCAGCUCCUCACCUCGCUCAGCGAAAACUCAGGAUUCUUUGCUGAACCUGGCAACCUGCUGCAGCAGUAUGGGUGUGAGAGAGCUGUGGCCUACAUGAACAGGCAUUUUAUGAAGGAUUUUUGUCAUCAGCUGGAGCUACUGCCAGACAGCCUGCCACCAGCCAAAGUUGAUGCUAAUCAUUUUUUACAUAGACAUUUAUUAAAUUAAAGAUACGUUAUUUUCAGUUAUUAAUUAAGCAGUAGUUGACAGCCAGUUAGCUAGGACUGUAGUAAGAUCUAACCAAACGGUUCUCCAGGCUGGUUCUGCUGGUGUUACAUCCCCUUCAUUUGAAUUCAAAUUUUCUAUCUCUAAAUCAAACAAUCUUCUCUCUCUCUCCCUCUUAAAAAAACACUUUAAAACUUUCAGCAAACCUCUUUCUAACUCACUCUUAGCGUCUCUAACUCGCUUACUCCCUAUCCAACACCCUUGUUCUCGCUUUGUCUUUAAUUUGCUCGCUCUUAGCUAAUGGCGUCUUUCUCUCUCGCUCCAGUUUCUUUACUCGUAGCUACUGUCUCACUCUAACUCUAAGUGAGCAACUUACAGAGGGAGGGAGGGGAGCGAGGUUUAGCUUGGAGCAAGAGAGAGAGAGAGAGGUUAGCUAAGAGUGAGCCAGUUAGAGGUGAGUUGGGAGAGAUAAAAAGGUUAGCUUAGUGAGAGAAAGAUUUGUUUAGAGUGAGAAAGAAAGAGGUUAGCAGAGAGAGAGAGAAACAUUUUAGCAGUUAGAGUUAAAAAGAGGUUUGCUAAGAGAUUUGAAACCUGCUUGUGUGCGAGCAUGUAGUUAUACCUGCCUUUGUCCUGGAGGGUUCACUGUAAGGGUGCAGCUGGCGCUCCUGAGCAGUGGAAAUGCACAUUGAGCCACUUGGAGUCUCGGCGGUGCCACACGCGAGUCUCCUCAGACUGGCAGCUACGCGGACGGCCCUGGCUAUCGAUGUACUGCGUCAGUCGGAUAUAUGCAAUGCAGGCUGCAUCCUCUCCAAUCAGGUGCACAUGGGGGUUCAGGAUGGUGGUGUGCACUGGCUUGUUGUUCUUACUUAAUACUGAAACAAGAAACAAUACAAGUUUAACAUAAUUUUAGGGCUGGGAGGUAAAUUAAAGUACUGUGUAAAUGUAAUUUUCAAAAUAAGACAAUUGUGAUUGUACAUCUUUAAAUAUAAAAGCCACAGGAGGGAUAUCAGUGCUUAGAUCAAAAACCUGUAAAGAACUCACAUGGAUAUAAAGCUGUUUAAAGAUUUUGCACUUUGCUCAGUAAAAAGCUGCUUUAUAUUAUUAAAAAAUAGCUAAAUUA